ACCCGCUGAACUUAAGCAUAUCAAUAAGCGGAGGAAGAGAAACCAACCAAGAUUCCCUCAGUAACGGCGAGCGAAGUGGGAAGAGCUCAGGCUGCCAAUCUCCGGCCGAGAGGUCGGCGAAUUGUGGUCUGGAGACGCCAACUGUCCUUGCCUGCUUCCCGGGCCCGAAGUUGACCUGGAACGGCGCGUCAGAGAGGGUGACAGUCCCGUAGGGCCGUCUGUGGGAAGCGGGUGGACGUCAUUUGGCGGUCGGCGAGUCGGGUUGUUUGGGAUUGCAGCCCAAAGUGGGUGGUAAACUCCAUCCAAAGCUAAACAGCGGCACGAGACCGAUAGCGAACAAGUACC
rnacentral:rRNA from 1 species